GGUGGCGUGUGUGUCCCUUCCUCCUCCCAGCCAGCUCCCGCUCCACCCCCGACCGCUCGGCGCCUUCCCUCCCCGAGCCCCCGCGUCUUCCCAACCGCCCGCACACUCACGGGCCAUGCUGACCACCGGCCGGAGACUGGAAGACAGCGACUUGGAGAAGCAACGGCGGCUUGCACGCUCCGCAGCGGUCGCCGCCCGGUGCUGAGGAAGGCUGAGCCCCGCGAGGGCCCUCGGUGUGGCGACGCCUCGCUCAGCCAGCCAGCCGCCCCGCCCACCGACCCACAACAGCCGCGGCGUGGCCGGUGAGCCACUGCGCGUGCGCGGUCCCCGCGCCCCGCCACUCCGCGCGUCCCUUGUCCGCGAGGCGUCCGCGCGCGCACUCGCCUCCUUACCAAGCAGCAUCCCCGAAGGUGGGCUUUAGGUUCCUCAUCUGGCAGAAAAGACCUAGCAAGGACAGAAGGGUGGGUUUCGAGCGGGCUCCAAGCCUGCUCUUUGCACAUUUCUCCCGGUGCCCUCCGGAUGGGCAGAACUUUAGCUCUAAGCUCAGGUUCUGUGGUUGAACGGAAUCCAAAAUAACCCAGAAUAACUUUAUAACCUACAGAAGAGCUGAAACAAGUCAAAAUGCUUGCAUAGGGCUGAGGGGCGUGGCUCAUGGGGGAGGGGGAUGCUUGCCUAUCUUGAGGGACACCCUGAGUUCCAUCCCCUCCCUGGGUUCCAUUUCUUGAACUGAGACUUACUUUCUUGCCUGUCCACUAUUACAAACCGAGAUAGUCUGGACACCGAAUUUGCCUGGGUAUUUUUAAAAGUUUUAUUGUGGAAUAUUUUUAAAACAUAACAAAAGUAUAGAUGAUGCUACUGCGUACGCCAUCUGUACGUGUUAACGUGACCUUUACAAUUCUUAAUGUAUAGAAUCAACUAGUUUAGAGAGAAAGCAUCAAGAGACGGAAUGACUGGAUUGGAAGUGCAGUCCUAAUAGAAACAAAUGUAUAAAAGUUGGGGUCAUAGACAGAUGCAUUUAGCACUUAAAACGAGCAGAAUGCAUAGAAACAAACACUUAUCUAGGACUAAUUGGCUAUUCUGGGUCUUUUGUUGUUCCAUAUCAAAUUGAGGUUUUUCUUUCUAUUUAUGUGAAGAAUGAGAUGAGGAUGUUGAUUGUGAUUUCAUUGAAUCAGUAAAUUGUUUUGGUAGGAAGGUCUUUUUUCACAAUAUUAAUUCUACCAAGCUAUAUGCUUGGGAGGUCUUCAAAUUCUAGUAUGUUUCUUAAUCUCUUUCUUGACACAUUUAAAGCUUUCAUUGUAGAGGUCUUUUUGCCUCUUUUGUUAUGUAUGUUCUAAAUGUUUUAUUUUAUUUGAAAAACUGGGAAAAGGAGUGUGUCCAUGAUCUCUUUCUCAGCAUGCUUGUUACUCAUAUGUAUUAAGACUGGUAAAUUUUAUAAGUCAAUUAUGUAUCAUAACACUUUGCUGAAAUUAUACAAAAUUUCUAUAAUUUUUUUCUAGUCAAAUUUUGGGAACAUUGGGUAUAAUAUAAUCUUCAAUUGAAAACAAAAGUUUUUUUUAUAUGUAUAAAAUA
rnacentral:lncRNA from 1 species